UACGGAAGGCAGCAGUGGGGAAUAUUGCACAAUGGGCGCAAGCCUGAUGCAGCCAUGCCGCGUGUAUGAAGAAGGCCUUCGGGUUGUAAAGUACUUUCAGUCGUGAGGAAGGUGUUAAGGUUAAUAACCUUAGCAAUUGACGUUAGCGACAGAAGAAGCACCGGCUAACUCCGUGCCAGCAGCCGCGGUAAUACGGAGGGUGCGAGCGUUAAUCGGAAUUACUGGGCGUAAAGGGCACGCAGGCGGUUAAUAAGUUGGAUGUGAAUCCCCGGGCUUAACCUGGGAAUGGCAUUCAAGACUGGUUAGCUAGAGUCUUGUAGAGAGGGGUAGAAUUCCAUGUGUAGCGGUGAAAUGCGUAGAGAUGUGGAGGAAUACCGGUGGCGAAGGCGGCCCCUGGACAAAGGCUGACGCUCAUGUGCGAAAGCGUGGGGAGCAAACAGGAUUAGAUACC
rnacentral:rRNA from 1 species